rnacentral:rRNA from 1 species
GGUCAUCAUUGCGAUGGAGAUACACCUGUUCCCAUGUCGAACACAGAAGUUAAGUCCAUCUACGGCGGAAGUACUUGGGGGUUGCCCCCUGGGAGAUAUGCGAGUGGCCAAGUUUGGGAGUUUAGCUCAGCUGGGAGAGCAU